CCAAGUCGCGUAUCUCUCUGCCUCUUCCCCAUUUCUCUUCGUCUUCUUCCUUGAAACCUCAGCGUUUCAGUUCUGAUCAUCCCCUUCUUCACUUUCAGAUUCUUCCCAAUCAAUUUUGCAAUCAAUUUUUUUCUUAAUAGUUUUGUUUCAUCUUCCCCCUUUCCUCCUUCUUUAUAUAAUGUUUUUUUUCCCGAUUACAAAUCAAAACCCUAUAUUUACUCGAAACUCGAUCGAUGGCGAUGAAACUACAUGGGAAGUCGAUUGUCUCCUCCUAUUACGACGACAAAGUCGUGUUCUUCAAAGAUCUCUCCCUGGGUCACCACGAAGCUCAGUUGCGGUUUUGGCUCAUCCAUUUCUGGGAGGCUUGGAACCCAGUUAAGAAGACGCUCAUCGGCAUGGAGAUGCUACUCAUCGACGAAAAGGUAGAAGACGCUCAUCGGCAUGGAGAUGCUACUCAUCGACGAAAAGGGAUUAGUAAUAUGCUAGUUACUAAGAUGCCGAAAGUGAAUUCUUAAUCAUUCUCUUUUACAGUUACCGUCUAUUUCAAAAGCUAUGGCGGAAGUGACAGAAACCGUAGAUCAGAUGCGGAGGAAUAGGUGGUUGCCAGGGAGAAGCGACUACUAUAUGUGUGGUGAGCCAGGUUACAUGGUCAGAGACUGUUUGGAGGACACGGAGGCGGUGGUGGCUACGGUUGAUGGACAGGAGGAGGUGGUGGCCACGAGGUGGAGUCAGGUACGAAGGUGGUCAGUAUCAACAAAAAUUUGAAGGGUCCUCUAUACGAUAAGCCCUUGAAGCUACAAUGGUUCUUGCUGAUGAUUAUCAAUGCAAUGGCACUGCUUUUUAUCUUUGGGUAAUUAGCUUUCUUCUUCUGCUCUUUAUCCGUACAUUCUCUUGAUAUCUAAGCAAGUCACCUACCUUGCUUUUUGUUCUCUGAUUCAGGCAGUUAUGUCACAACAUUAACACCAGCCUCACUACUCUCCCCACUCUCCCUCAAUUAAACAUGAUAAUUAUCAUGAAAGCUAACCUUUUGGAGCUGUAUAUACUAUAAAUAUGUUUCAUCUCUGCGAUGAAAAUUCCAAACAGCUAAAAAAAUCUAAAACUCCGCUAUUUACAAGUGAUGGAUCGUUUGUGUCUAUUAGCUUUUGUUUGGAUGUUUACUUGAUUUUAGGUGAUGCAAGUGAUGGAUGAUACCCUUUACCAGGUUCUAGAGUUGCGUCAACACCUGCUAAACCAAAAA